rnacentral:sRNA from 1 species
CGCCGGCGGCCGAGUUGGGAGAAUGCGGCGGCGCUCGCGGAUGCUGCUCUGCUUCGCCUUCCUGUGGGUGCUGGGCAUCGCCUACUACAUGUACUCGGGGGGCGGCUCUGCGCUGGCCGGGGGCGCGGGCGGCGGCGCCGGCAGGAAGCUCUAGACUCUGUGCUCUGUUCUGCAGUGUUGGAGUUAGGACCGCACAUCCCAGCUGCUUUGCCAGUGGCUUCCGGGCAGCCUCCAUCAGGAGGAGGCGGUAGAAGCACCAGCGAGAUGGGGCUUUGGUCCUUCCUGUUGGCUUCCUGUUGCCCCAGCUGUAGCCGUUGAAUUCAGUCUUCAGUUAUCCCAGCACUGGCCAGCCAGCCUCAUUGUCUGCACUCCCUGCAGAUCCCACCACUCCUCCAAGGAAGUCUCUACCUCAGGGCUCUUUGGCUAUGCUUCUAAGGUUAAGUCUAACCGGUUCCCUCAGGCCUAGGUGUGGUGGCUGCUUCCUGUCCUUGCUACUUCCCUGAUAUCUAGAAUUUUCCUUUUUCUACCCAGUUACCUGGUUGCUGACUUUCUACCCAGUUAACAAUUUAUAUUAAAGCCCUUCUGUUCAAAAA